rnacentral:lncRNA from 1 species
AUCAAAUAAAUUAGUCGAAAUACGAAAAGAUUAGCCGAGGCGAGAAAACUCUUUCCUUAAGACAAUAUUGCCCCGCUACGGUGCUUACGGUUAUUUGGCAAGUGUCUCCCAAGAUACAACGGCUAACUCGGCAUAUGAGCACUCAAAAUCCCGAGUACAACGAACGUUACUUUGUGUCUCAAACUCUCGAAUCGAAUACGGAAGAAAAUAUUCUACGAAGAAUAUUUCCGGGCUAAAGAAGGAAGAAUUCCAUAGAACAAAAUUAUAGAAUUGAAUUGAUUUUU